UGGAGGUUCAUAUGAUGAUGAUUCAGGUUCGUCUUCUUCUUGUGGAGGUUCAACCUCCACAAGAAGAAGACGAACCUGAAACGUCAUCAUAUGAA
rnacentral:pre_miRNA from 1 species